GGGGCGGCGGCUUACCAUGCAGUCGACGGAAAGGCCCUUCGGGGUACUCGAGUGGCGAACGGGUGAGUAACACGUGGGUGAUCUGCCCUGCACUUUGGGAUAAGCCUGGGAAACUGGGUCUAAUACCGAAUAGGACCACGCGCUUCAUGGUGUGUGGUGGAAAGCUUUUGCGGUGUGGGAUGGGCCCGCGGCCUAUCAGCUUGUUGGUGGGGUAAUGGCCUACCAAGGCGACGACGGGUAGCCGGCCUGAGAGGGUGACCGGCCACACUGGGACUGAGAUACGGCCCAGACUCCUACGGGAGGCAGCAGUGGGGAAUAUUGCACAAUGGGCGCAAGCCUGAUGCAGCGACGCCGCGUGAGGGAUGACGGCCUUCGGGUUGUAAACCUCUUUCAAUAGGGACGAAGCGCAAGUGACGGUACCUAUAGAAGAAGCACCGGCCAACUACGUGCCAGCAGCCGCGGUAAUACGUAGGGUGCGAGCGUUGUCCGGAAUUACUGGGCGUAAAGAGCUCGUAGGUGGUUUGUCGCGUUGUUCGUGAAAACUCACAGCUUAACUGUGGGCGUGCGGGCGAUACGGGCAGACUAGAGUACUGCAGGGGAGACUGGAAUUCCUGGUGUAGCGGUGGAAUGCGCAGAUAUCAGGAGGAACACCGGUGGCGAAGGCGGGUCUCUGGGCAGUAACUGACGCUGAGGAGCGAAAGCGUGGGGAGCGAACAGGAUUAGAUACCCUGGUAGUCCACGCCGUAAACGGUGGGUACUAGGUGUGGGUUCCUUCCUUGGGAUCCGUGCCGUAGCUAACGCAUUAAGUACCCCGCCUGGGGAGUACGGCCGCAAGGCUAAAACUCAAAGGAAUUGACGGGGGCCCGCACAAGCGGCGGAGCAUGUGGAUUAAUUCGAUGCAACGCGAAGAACCUUACCUGGGUUUGACAUGCACAGGACGCCGGCAGAGAUGUCGGUUCCCUUGUGGCCUGUGUGCAGGUGGUGCAUGGCUGUCGUCAGCUCGUGUCGUGAGAUGUUGGGUUAAGUCCCGCAACGAGCGCAACCCUUGUCCUAUGUUGCCAGCGGGUUAUGCCGGGGACUCGUAGGAGACUGCCGGGGUCAACUCGGAGGAAGGUGGGGAUGACGUCAAGUCAUCAUGCCCCUUAUGUCCAGGGCUUCACACAUGCUACAAUGGCCGGUACAAAGGGCUGCGAUGCCGUGAGGUGGAGCGAAUCCUUUCAAAGCCGGUCUCAGUUCGGAUCGGGGUCUGCAACUCGACCCCGUGAAGUCGGAGUCGCUAGUAAUCGCAGAUCAGCAACGCUGCGGUGAAUACGUUCCCGGGCCUUGUACACACCGCCCGUCACGUCAUGAAAGUCGGUAACACCCGAAGCCGGUGGCCUAACCCUUGUGGAGGGAGCCGUCGAAGCGACCCCCU
rnacentral:rRNA from 1 species